CUGUUCUAAGCGUCUGCGAGUUCACUUUUUAUUUGUUGUGGGAAAAAUAGUUCAAUCUCUUGUUCUGUCUGUUUCUGUUGUGCUGCGAAGGAACCAUAAUUAAUAGGCAAAUAGCAAAAGGCAAGAUGAUUAGAGGAUCACCAACUGUAAAUUCAACAGCGACAAGUACCAGUUUGAGCCACAGCACCCACUUCAAAUUCAGCUCCCAUCGCAAAUUCAUCGCUCUCUCGUCUACCAAGUCUAAGACCAAUUGCAAAACUUGGAAAUCCAUAUCUGUGAGAGCCUCCAGCAACGAGAAAGACAAUGAAACAGAAUAUAACGAAGCCUCAAGAACGCAAAAACAAUCCCUAAGUUUGGAGGACGUGAACCCGGUGGGUCUAGGGAGGAAGUCCAGGC
rnacentral:misc_RNA from 1 species